rnacentral:lncRNA from 1 species
AAGUAGAAAACUCCAGCCAGCCCGUCCCUAAUUUUAUAAAGGGACCUCCUCAUAUAGUUGUUGACUUAUAUCUUCAUAAGGAUAGAAAUGCACUUACCAUGCCCCUAAUUUAAAUCAUAAUUUCUGAUUUUCCUUUGCCCUAGCUAUAUUUCCGUAUCCUACAUCGCACCCAGCACGAUGCCUAGCACCCAGCAGAUGUUCAACUACUAUUCUUGAAAGUAUAAAUGCAUUUCACCCAUUUUUACCUUCAUCCCACUGCUUCACUUGCAAAAUAAAGCAUUUGGCACUAUUACCCUUCUCAGAUAAUACGUUAACGUGAGACUGGAGAACGGGAAGGAAGAGGAGAAAAAAAGGAGGGAAAAAAAGAUAAUAGAAGAUGAGAGAAUGGAUGGCAGCUGAGGAAACGGGAGAGAGGCAAGAGGUUCCAGAUUCCAGGCAGCCUCCCUCUUGCCUCCUGAUUCCUCUCUCAUCUCAAAGCCUGGUCACCAAUGUCCUACAAAACAGCUAAGAGCGUUUUAACCCAUUUCCGGUGGAGCUAUGUGAUGAUCCUUUGCCGUGUAAGCGUGAGGCCCUUGGACUAACGGAUGACUCUCUCAGGGAAGCUUCCGCUGACCAGCUCAUUGUGAGUUUCAACACCCCUCUUCUCUAUCUUCUGUAUCCUUACUCACUUUUGACUGCUUGGUCUAUCUAUUGCUGGGACAAGUGUCUUUUAAAGAUUAUAUUGUGAUGGUAGAUUUUUAAAUUGCUCCUCAUAAUUUUGUCAGUUUUUACUUUAAUGCUUUGUGGUUAUUUUGUUAGGAUCAUUGAAAUUCAUAUUUAUUUUAC